GAUUUGUCUGGUURAUUCCGAUAACGAACGAGACUCUGGCCUAUUAAACUUGACGUCGUUAGUCCUUAUGUGACUACGGCGCGCUUCUUAGAGGGAUCAUCGGCGUCCCAGCCGAAGGAAAGGGAGCAAUAACAGGUCUGUGAUGCCCUUAGAUGUUCUGGGCUGCACGCGUGUUACACUGAAGUGGUCAGCGCGCCGUUCAACGUCCCUCUCCGUGAGGAGCGGGCAAACGUUUGAACCCUUUUCGUGAUGGGAAUUGGGGGUUGCAAUUGUCCCCCAUGAACGAGGAAUUCCAAGUAAGCGCAAGUCACUAGCUUGCGUUGAUUAAGUCCCUGCCCUUUGUACACACCGCCCGUCGCUACUACCGAUGGAUGAAUUGGUGAGGUCGCCUAGACUGGCCGCUGGCUUCGGCCGUGCGGCCGGGAAGACGCCCAAACUUGUUUGUCUAGAGGAAGUAAAAGUCGUAACAAGGUUUCCGUAGGU
rnacentral:rRNA from 1 species